rnacentral:rRNA from 1 species
GAUGAACGCUGGCGGCGUGCUUAACACAUGCAAGUCGAACGGAAAGGCUCCUGCUUGCAGGGGUACUCGAGUGGCGAACGGGUGAGUAACACGUGGGUGAUCUGCCCUGCACUUCGGGAUAAGCCUGGGAAACAGGGUCUAAUACCGGAUAGGACCACAUUUUGGGUGGUGUGGUGGAAAGUUUUUCGGUGUGGGAUGAGCUCGCGGCCUAUGAGCUUGUUGGUGGGGUAAUGGCCUACCAAGGCGUCGACGGGUAGCCGGCCUGAGAGGGUGUACGGCCACAUUGGGACUGAGAUACGGACCAGACGCCUACGUGAGGCAGCAGUGGUGAAUAUUGCACAAUGGGCGCAAGCCUGUUGCAGCGACGUCGCGUGGGGGAUGACGGCCUACGGGUUGUAAACUACUUUCGCUAGGAACCAAGCGCAAGUGACGUUACCUGGAGAAGAAGCACCGGCUAACUACGUG